AUACGUAGGGUGCGAGCGUUGUCCGGAAUUACUGGGCGUAAAGAGCUCGUAGGUGGUUUGUCGCGUCGUCUGUGAAAUUCCGGGGCUUAACUCCGGGCGUGCAGGCGAUACGGGCAUAACUUGAGUACUGUAGGGGAGACUGGAAUUCCUGGUGUAGCGGUGAAAUGCGCAGAUAUCAGGAGGAACACGGGUGGCGAAGGCGGGUCGCUGGGCGGUAACUGACGCUGAGGAGCGAAAGCAUGGGUAGCGAACAGGAUUAGAUGCCCUGGUAGUCCAUGCCGUAACCGGUGGGCGCUAGGUGUAGGGGUCUUCCACGACUUCUGUGCCGUAGCUAACGCAUUAAGCGCCCCGCCUGGGGAGUACGGCCGCAAGGCUAAAACUCAAAUGAAUUGACGGGG
rnacentral:rRNA from 1 species